rnacentral:lncRNA from 1 species
UACAGUUAUUCUGCAAUUUCUUAGAGCGAGUGAGGUUGCCUCUGUGAACGCUGGUGGGCUUUUUAAUACUGGCCUGUGGCUCUGCCCUCAGAGCAGGGAAGCUCCUCCUCUUGCUGGUUCCCCUUUCGGAUGUUUCCUCCCCAGCUGAAGAGGCCGGCAGGCAGCCAGGAUGGGACACAGCUCACAGGACCCCCACCUCUGCUGGACCACCAGGCUCCUGGGAGUCAUUAGCCUGCUCUGUGAGUAGCUGGAUUUCCUGGAAGGGAGGGCAGUUGGGGGGUGCUGGGACAGCUGGGACCCUUCAGUCCUGGGGGCUGUUAGGCUCUGAUGCCUUUGGGAAACAAAGAGAAAGCCAGCCGCCCUGUUAUAAUUCACCAGUGCAGUGUGGGUAGAGCCCAGGAUGAAUGGAAAGAGCAAAAUGGCCUUUUGGUGGUGAGGACCUGGGACCCUGGGCUCAGGCAGCCCUGGCUGCAUGAGGGACCAUAGCCAGGGAGCUGAGGCCACCUGGGCUGCAGCAGCAGGGAGGGGCUGGAGCUGCCUGGGGAGGGGUAUGGAGACAGACCAAGAGCCUGUUCCUGGGGCACAGGGUGAGGAGGCAGCACCCCAGCCUGGGCCCCCAGGGUCCUCAGGGCCUCUGCAGCUCUUCUGUGGAGGCCCCUACUGGAACCCUGGUGUCUGAGCCGGAGGAAGCUCCUCUGGUCUGUGCUCCUUCCCCCCCCCCCUGAAAUGCCCCUGGCUGGGAGACCUCAGCUGGAACCUUGCUUAUCUCAUCACUGUUCCUGGCAAAGCCCUGGAAAAACAGGAGGCACCGUCAAUUGAGGAAAGAUUGAGCAAACUGAGCAGUAUCUGGGGCUCCUGUGCAUGGGAUGUCAUGGAGGCUAAGGAAACAGUGCCCCAGUGUUCUGGGAAGAAUGUCCAGUUUCCAUGAGGGAGAUGCCUGGAUUCUCCUCAGCAAGAUCGAGAGAACCGAGCGCCAUGAAGUCCUUAUUUUAUAAAAGGACAAGCAGCGGGCUGAGGCUGGGGCUGGGGCUCAGUGGUAAAGCACUUGCCUAGCACAUGUGAGUCACCGGGUUUGAUCCUCAGCUCCACAUGAAAAUAAAAUAGAGGUUAUUGUGUCCACCUACAACUAAAAAAAGCAAAAACCAAAUAUUUAAAAAACAACAAAAAGGUCAAGCUGCCUCUAAAACUGAGGGUGUCUAUGUACCACGUGGCUAUGGUUACAUUGAACAUGUAGAAGGAAACAACGGAGGGUAACACAGGUUUCAGGAGCAGGUAAAAUUGUGCAGGAAAAUAUGCCAGGGGAGAGAGGAUGGGAGGUUAAACAGAGGGCUGAAAAAUAUAUUCUGAAAAACAGAAACUGAAAAAAUACACUGAUGGUGACUAUGGGCCACAUAUCACAUUUAUGACAUAAUAGAAUGUUUGUAUGUAGAAGGAAAUCAAAAGCUAACAAACAUAACAUGACCUACUGAACUGAAUUUUGGUGACAGCUUUAAAGGUGUUGAUAUUAGCUUUUUCUAAUUGUACUUAUUAGUAGGAUUCAUUGUAACAUCAUGUACAUAAGAUGAUUUGUUCCAGAUAAUUCCCCAGUACUUCCUCUUUUUGUUCUCCCUCCCCCUUCCAACUUUCUCUACUGUUUUGUCUCCUAUUUUAAUAUAUGAUUAUAUUGUAAUCAUACAUAAAAGUGGUAUUCAUUGUGGUAUAUUCAUACAUGCAUAUGGCAUAAUUUGGUUCAUUUUUCUUGUACUAUUCUGUUGUGUUCCUUGACCAAACACUCGGGGUCACUCCAGGUGAACUGGGCUGCAUGAAAUCACCACACAGAGACAGAGAAAUACCUUUUUCUUUGGCUCCUCUGAACUUAGGGGUCCUGGGGGGGGGGGGAGAGAGAGAGAGAGAGAGAGAGAGAGAGAGAGGGAGAGAGAGAGAGAGAGACAGACAGACAGACAUGAUGAACACUUUCAUUGAUAAGAAGCCAUUCAAAUUUGGCAAGAGGUCAGGUUUCAGGGGGUUGAGUCUAGAGCUUCAUGAUGUCUGCUGUCAGCAGGUUGACCAGCAUCUAGGGAGGCCAUGCCUAUCUAUGAGCUGUGUGGGGAUCAUGGCAGAGUGACCUAAGAAAAGACCAGAGUGAGGCCUGCCCAAACAGAGGGGCAAUGUCGGUUCAGUCCACUUUGUGUGCUCAGUGCCCACAGUUCACACACACACACCUCAUGGCUGGUUGGCCACAUCUCCACACUCUCAUCACUCAAGGGUAAGGGGCACUCGGUUCUAUUUGGCAGCUCCCGAUAUAGUUCCCCUUUCUUAAUUUAAAAAAAAAGGCAAUUGGGGAAUCAUAUCUUGCAGUCACUGGAUUCUUGGUCCAAGGUCAUCAUGAUCUACUAUUGAAACACAAAAAGUUUUGUAGAAAACAUAUUAUCUUAAUAACAUAAUCAACCUGGAAGAUCCCGGUUAUUAUUAUUAUUCUGCAAACAUUCAUCAGGAGAUUCUUAAUCUUUUACAAAUUUCAUGGGAAACAUUGUGUUUGGCCAUUGUAACAUAAACAUUUUUAUUUAGCAUGGCAUUUAAGCCUUUCCACAAACCAUAGAGCAGAGGGCUCAUUCACAAUAUUGAUGACAGUGGCUUCUAGAGUAUUUUAAUUUAGUUUUAAUUCUUUCAUUAUCACUUAUCUGAGUAUGAAGGAUCUUGGAAGUAAUUUAAGUAAUUUAAGCUUGCCUAGGUCUGGUUAAUUGACAUGCACUUGUUUCAAAGCCUGAACAUUAACUACAGCAUAUUAUAGCUCGGAAAUAUUAGCUGGCAAUAACCCAUGAUACAGCAAGAUAAGUUGUAUUCUUACAGGCUACAGGAUAUUCAUCUUCCUUUUUCUUAAUUCUCACAUUUAAGGAGUCUAUUAGGUCUGUCAGUAAUAUAAAUAUUUUGAAGGUAGAAGUCAAACAUCAAAACAUCCUUUUGGGUGCCAUCUCACUGAGGGUGAGGGUAUUAUUACCAAUAAACCUCCAGGGAUUAUGGCAUCCUUGCACAAUCAUGGUUGUCAACUCUGGGAGCCAGUCUAAAAUAUGCCCAAUAUCUCUAGACACCUUAUGUUGCACUGCCAAGACAUUUGCAUAAUCUAUCCUGUUAGGAAAGGUGUCAAUUUCUACUGUAGAAUGAUUAGGGAAACAAUAUAUUGGUGGAUAUUUUAAUAAAUAACUGGCCUGUAUAGGAAAAUAUAUUUUAAUAAUCUUUCUGAUAAUUGUCCAGAUAGGUCAAUAUAGUCUUCAUCUCUAGGACCAGCAUGAUUGGCUGGUUUAAGUUUCUUAUAUGUGGUCUUUUUCUCAAAAGACACUCCCAGACAGCCUGUUUACCAUAGGAUCAACAUGUAGGUCUAACUGACCAGUAUAGUCAGUACAGUUAAUUUAGUUUCACUGAUGGACUUUCCAGUCCCCUGCAAUGCACGUUAAAAGUGGACCUGAGAAAUGGGUCCAUAGAAGUUUUUUCAUGGUUUUACUUACCUGACACGCUCAUGAAGCUGCAUGGUUGUAAACUCUGCAGUUGGGAGAUUUACUUCCUGUGUCAGGUUUUUCAGUCAUUUUCAUGAUGACAGGUUUCAACUCUAUCUUUUGAAAUCUGAUUUAAGGUACUGAAUCAUGUUCAGUAACAGUAAAGCUCUCAAUAAAACAAUUAAGAAAAAAUUUAAAAAUAUUUGGUAAGAUCUAAUAUGUGUCUGUGGGGUCCUGUUUUCCCCCUUUUCUUUAUUUUAAAGGCCUGGUAUAAAUCAUAAUAUAAUUAGUUUAAAUUAUAAGGAGCCCUCAAUCUCUUCUUGAGAGAAGGUUUCAUAAUAUCUUAGAAUGUUAUCCUUUAAAUAGGGGUCUCAAUUGUCCUUUUAGAAAAUAUGAUUAAGGUUACUUCCCUCUGUGGGGAGUAGUAUAUAAAUCUUACCAUAUUCUUUAAUGAAUAAUAGGUUCAGUGAAAGAACUUACAUAAUACCAAUGAAUUUCCAACAAGUUUUGCAACUUCCAUGUUCAAGACCCAUGUACAACCUUGAUUUGGAGAACAUCAGUCCUAAGAAAAUGUUCUCUCAAAUCUCACAACAAUCCAACAAACAAAAGUUAUAUGCAAGGAUCAGCAGUGUCUUUGAAUCAUCAAAUUUAAUCUCCAGGGAGAAUUGUCAAAAUUGGGAUCUAAGUUAGCAGUUUAAUAUAUUUAGUGUUUAAUUAAAGAUGUGAAUUUAUUCACUAAAAAUAAUCUUUGCCUUAAACAGUAAGAAUCAUUGGGAAAUAAAGACCUUCCUUUAAGGAAAUAAACUUAAUAUUGUAAUAGGUCUUUAUCAUGUAAAAAUGUGGACAAAAUCUCAGCUCACAUCAGUAUAGUAAAAUCAGGGAAAUAGCCUUAAAUAGCCUUGAAUUAAUCAGCUAAAAUUUUUAUCGUCAGUGCAGUAUAUACAGCACCUGUCUAGAUAAUCAUAUGAAGAUUUUCCUAUAUAGUAAAAUACUUUUAUCAUUAAAAUCUAGAAUAUAAAGACCUUGUUUUACCCAAAGAUGAUUUCUGUUUUGUUCUGAGGACCUCCAAUGUGUGUUUCCUCUCUGUUGAUGCAUCUUCUUUUCCUUUUAGAAUUUUUCUUGGUUAUACUUUGGAAUAAUUUUUGAAAACCUUAGAAUCUAAACAAAUUAUUGUACUUUGAUAAGAAAUAUCUCAAUGAAAGUAUAGUUAAAGUCCGUGGAUGUUUCUGUAGACAGAAUUAUAUUUGUUUAUUAUUUUAUAAAGUUUGUACAAUAAUUUGAGAGUUAGAGAUUACUCGGUGGUUGUUUUAUGUCUUGAAAGUAAAUUCAUAGAAAAAUAAUUUAUUUCAAAUAUCUGAAACUAAAAGGCAGAGUAUCAGAUAAAUGCAUGUAAAAGAAAUAUAUAAAUUUUGUGUUUUCUAUUGAAGAAAAACAACAAAUAAAUAUAUAUUAAUUAAAAAAUUAGACAUAUAUGUUAAUUAUUUUAUGGAGUAAUAUAGGUUAUUCAAAUAUCUAGAAAAAUAUAUAAUAUGAAUAAGGGCAUAACUUAUAAUCGUAUAAACUUCAUGUAACCAUGUGGUUCUUAAUUUUGGAUCCAUUUCGAUUUAUUCUUAACUAGGAGUGCACUCUUAUUUGAUGUCACGUGAUGCAGCUAAAAUAAGAUCCUUGUGUAUAUUGUAUUCAUUUUUUUUUAAAAUUACAUAGUUAGAAUUGAAAAGAAUAAGGAUUUUUUGGUAACCAUAGGAACAUUACUGGCUUUGUUUCUUUGACAAGCAAAUGCAUCCUCAUAACCUUCAAAAUUAGAAGCAAAAUAUACAGAAGCAUAUGUAUUUCUUUUUUUUUUUUUUUUUUAAUUUUUUUUUUUUAAUUUUGGAUCCAUUUCGAUUUAUUCUUAACUAGGAGUGCACUCUUAUUUGAUGUCACGUGAUGCAGCUAAACUAAGAUCCUUGUGUAUAUUGUAUUCAUUUUUUUUUUUAAAUUACAUAGUUAGAAUUGAAAAGAAUAAGGAUUUUUUGGUAACCAUAGGAACAUUACCGGCUUUGUUUCUUUGACAAGCAAAUGCAUCCUCAUAACCUUCAAAAUUAGAAGCAAAAUAUAAAGAAGCAUAUGUAUUUCUUAUAAUUGUUAUAUAGCUCUGCAGUUUUUCCUAAUAGUGCUCGCUGCAGCGCGUGUUCUCCUAUCUUUUGUAUUUUCCCUUGCAGCACGUGGCACCUUAGAAGUGAGUUUUAAUGGCAGACGCCAGUGUUACUAUCAGAUGUUAAGGCGGUCUGCGUUUGGCACCCAGGCCAGGUUGUUUAAGGGUUAAAGGCACUGCUGGAGGUGGGUCCAGUUACAGACCCCAUAGGGAACAGCUGCUGAGUUAUAGACAUUCUGAUCCAAUGGGACAAGAAUGUAGCAAAGAGGUUCAGUACACACUGAGUAUUCACAAAAAUAAUAGAAAAAUAAAAUUCACCUCUCUACAGGUAAAGAAUCCUUGUAUCAAAUCUCAUCACAAAAUCUUUUUUUCCUGUUUCUUACUCCCUAAGCACAGACUUUUAGUACAUAAACCCCAAAAAUCUUUAUCUAAUAUUCCAAAAUAUAAAUAUUCACAAAAAACAAUCCAAAAAAGUCCAUAAAAGUGCUUUUCCCAUGGGAGAGGACUGAACCUAACAUAUCCCAUUAAUCAUCUUAAUAAUUUUUACAUUUAUUUAGGGUCUCUAGAAUUGCAAAAAUAAGGUUUUCUUCUAAAGACAUAAUAUUCACAAAUAUUAAAAAAAGUUUAACGUCACAGAUUUCCCUUCUGUCUACUUUCUACAAUUCAGCCCACAAUACUCUGACAUCCUAAGCAUGCUUAACUUCUGGAGAGAAAUUCCAAACCCACUAAAUUUCUAAAAAUCACCCUGCAGUCACCUUACAGGCCACCGAUUGUCACGUUCCACGACUCGACACUCAGGGUAGCUCCAGGUGAACUGGGCUGCGUGAAAUAAUUAUAUAGAGACAGCAAAAUACCUUUUUCUCUGGGUCCUGAGAUGGCUCCUCUGACUUUAGGGACCUUUGGAAAGAGAGAGAGGGCUCCUGUGCUGAACCCUUUUAUUGGGAAGAAGCCAUUCAAAUGAGGCAAGGGGUCAGGUUUCAGGGGGCUGAGUCUAGCUCCAUGAUGUCUGCUGUCAGAGGGUGACCAGCAUCUAGGGAGGCCAUGGCCAUCUAUGCGCUGUGUGGGGAUCAUGGCAGAGUGAGCUAAGAAAAGACCAGAGCGAGGCCCACCCAAACAGUGGGGCAACGUGGGUCCAGGCCACCUUGGGUGCUCGGGGCCCACAGGUCACACACACAGCCCGUGGCUGGUGGCCCCAUCUCCACACUCUCAUCACUCAAGGACCAGGGGCUGCAGCAGCUCCCAUACUAUUCUUCCUAUUUACUUCUAUCCUCCCUCCCCCUUGGCCCUGACCUUUCCUCUAGCAUUUUCCUUCCACUAUUAUGAAAUACUGCACUUAAAAAAAUUUUUUUUUUCUCUAACUUCUUCAUGGGAGAGAAAAUAUUGAACCCUUGACUUUCUGAAUCUGGCUUAUUUCACUUAGCAGGAUGUUCUCCAAUUCCUUUCAUUUUCCUGCAAAUAACAUCAUUUUAGUCUUCAUGGCUGAGUAAAAUCAUAUAUUUGUCACACUUUUAAAAUUUGUUGGUCUGUUGAUGGACACCUUGGCUGGUUUCCUACCUUGGCUAAUUGAAGUGUACUAUCUAUAGACAUUGAAAUUCGUGUACUGCUAUCAUACACUGAUUUCAGUUGUUUUGGAUAACUUGGUGAAAGCUGUUACUGUUAUAGUUAAAAAACAAACAAACAAAUAAACCAGCUACUAAGUGAACUUGCAAGGAAUUAUAUGCAAUUUAAUGGGUUAGAGAGCACUUGUGGAAUAGGACAUAUUCAGUGAACAAUGAACUUUGCAAGUGUAAGGGGCUAGGACCCCAUUUUAAAUGGGCAACUGUUUGGCAUCCAGUGGCACCUCAGUUAGUGUGUGGUACUUAUGAAUGGACAACUUUUUCUUUCUUUUUUUUAAAGUGGACAACUUUUUGUGAACAGCAAAGUAUAGACUUUCCCCAUUUCACAAUGCUGUGUAAAUAAGAAGUAUGUUAAAUGGUGUAGUGUUUUCUUCAGUAGGCUCUGGGGUUGGAAAAUUAUGGAGGGAAAGAAAAAAGAAAAGGGAGGAAGAAAGAUGAGAAGGAAAGCAGGGAAGAGGGAGGGAAGGAGGGGGUGGGAGGAAAGACUCCACAUUUCUCAUUUAGGGAUUCCCAAUCUGAAUCCAGAGGGAGACAGUGACUCGCUCAAGGCCACACAGGAACUGGGAAGGUUGAAAUGGUUGCCCCACAGGCCUGCCCUCCGUGGACCCAAAUGGGACAAACCUGGUUGCAGAGGAGCUUUGUAAGAGGCUCUUGGUGGAAGGAGCCUCACCCCUAAAUUGCUCUGCAUCCUUCCUGGAAGCCUGGAGUCCCACGGUUGCAUUUUUCUUUGGUUUCUGGAUUGUCCCCUGUUCACUCAGCCUUGCUUGGGGGGAGAGAUGGAGGUGAAGCAGUGAUUGAGAGAGUGGUGGUGAACUUCCCCUAUUAAAUCACAAGCCCUUUCCCGCAUGUGGUGGAUGGGGAAGUGUGGAAGGGAAGGAGGGAACCUGAGGACAGCUAGUUUCACAUUGGAAUUUUCCAGAGACACUGGUGACUGCAGAGGGUGUGGUUCUGGACUUGUGGGGACUCCCCCACGUUGAUAGCAACAGCAUUUACUGAAUGCCCUGUUCUGCUGGCAGGGAGCUGGAGAAGGGUCUGGGUCACUAUGGACCCCAGAGAGAGACACAGAGACAGUGGAGAGGUCAUCAAGGAAGGUACUUAGGGCUUCAUGCAUCAGCUGACAGGGAACUGCUGUUUGCAUGAGAAGGAGGUGAUAGGGACACGACGUUAUGACAUACAGAGGAACCAUGUUCUAUGCCCACGGUUGCAUUUUUAAUUUUGUAGUAUGAACUUCACCCUCUACCUGGUAAAGCCCAUAUGCUCCAUGGCUCCUCUUUCCUUGUUUAGGAUGAGCAUCUUCUGUAGGUCAGAGAGCUCCUGCUGCCUCCCCUCUCUACCUCCCUCCUCUGUCUUGCUGAUGUCACCCACCAUUGGGCCUCAGGGGCUGAUCCUCCCACAGGCUGAGGCUGACCCUCCUCUGUAUUUGUGGUUCCCUCUUCUAGGAAGUGGGAGUCUGGGCAGGCUGGCUGUCCAACCCUGGGCGAGCCAGAAGUCUCAGCUGUGCUCAGCCACUCCAAGGACUCUGUCCCUGCAGGGGGGACAGUUGGAGGAUGAGACUCCAUCAGCUGCUCAGGCCCUGGAGGGACCAGGUAACAGCUCAGGGAGGGGCAGAGCUCCUAAUGGGCAGGGAGAUGGGGAGAGCUGACGGGCAGCAUCCUGGGCUCCAGGACUGGCUGUGCCCUGUGUCACCAGGACAAGUCCACUCCCCAGGGACCCCCUGCUCUCUAACAGGAGGGGCUUGACAGCUCACCUCUGAAGCCCCUCCAGGGUGACCCAGGGCUUCCUCACACAGGGCUUUCUGUGGCCACUGCAAGGCCUCUGCUCUGUCUUUCUCGUCCUGACCUGUCCUAUCCUGUCACCUGACAGGGAGUCACAGCUGGGGAGCCUGUUUAGGGCUCCUUAAGAGAGGACACCCUGAGCUGUCCCUGUGGCCAUUUCUUCAGCCCCCAAGGGAGGGAGGAAAUCCUGCUCCUCAGCUCCUCCACCUGACCUGGUCUUCUCUGCCUCUGCUCCUGAGGGGGACCUCAGGGCUGGUGUCCUCAGAUCUCCUGCCCAAGGACUCUCCCUCCUCACACCCUUGCAGAUGUGGUCUGCACACCUUGCCCAGGAGGCCAUGUUGCAGCUGUGCCCUUUAGACCAGCUGAUGAAAGCCUCUGCCAGACCUUGAGGUUCCUGUUCAGCACAAAACACUGGCUUCCCUGCAGGACCCUCCUACAAUGCUGGCAGGGGGACACAGACACUGUGGUGACCACAAUGACCUCAUCAAAUCCCUGAGGAUGGUCUGAAAUACAGGCUGUCAGAGCACCCCAUUGCGCUGUUUCCCCAUGGGAUAGCAGGCUGUUUCUCUGGGUACUGCAUUAAACAGAGCACUUAAAUGUACUGACCACCACUGUACUGACAGCCAGCAAGCGCCUGCUGUCCAUGCACAGAGAAACCAACACGGCACCAGGUUUUGCAAGAAGAAAGAACUUGAUAGUUGCUCCCCUGACAGGGAGAGAGGAGGCAGGCACACUCUGUCUCCCCAGGGAGCAGGAAGGGACUUAAGGCAGGGAUGAGAAACAGAAGGCCAGCUGGCUGGAGUCGGGAGUCUUGGUGGCAUGGUCCACACCAGGUGCCCUGGGCCUGGUGGAACCUCUGGGUACUUUGUGAGUGCACUGGUCUCUCUGACCCCAUGCUCCCUCCUGCAGCUGUGGCUGCACCCUGGCUUCUAACCCAGGUCCACAAGACCCUCUUCUGGUUCCUUGGCUUCUCAUCCUUGGAGACUUUUGGUUCCUCUCAGCUCUCUAGGUCUGCAGCUGCAUCCUGAAAAAACAACUUGCAAAGAGUUUUUACAAACAGGGAAGUUGUGGUGUAUGGCCCAUUUUCACACCCAGAAUUACAUAUUUAAAUGUGUUAAACUCUGAUUAGGCUGGAUGACCACAGUGCUAAAGGAUACUUGUAUUUUGCUUAUUAAUUAAAGAGGGAACCAUAGGAUGUCACAGCCCUUUCAAAGGGAGAAUGAAGGGCACCUCAGGCCAGUGGGAAGGUUGAGAGGCAUUUAUUAAUAGAUACCCAGGCUCACAGGGCUGGAUUGUCUCUGGGCACACGUCAUUUCCAGUGCUUACCUUGGGAUGGGGCACAAUUUGCUUUCAUUUGAAAACUCCACAACUUGGAUACUUGUUUUCAAUGUAACAUAUGAUACUUUUGUAUUAUAGAAUAACUNGUCCUUGGAGACUUCUGGUUCCUCUCAGCUCUCUAGGUCUGCAGCUGCAUCCUGAAAAAACAACUUGCAAAGAGUUUUUACAAACAGGGAAGUUGUGGUGUAUGGCCCAUUUUCACACCCAGAAUUACAUAUUUAAAUGUGUUAAACUCUGAUUAGGCUGGAUGACCACAGUGCUAAAGGAUAAUUGUAUUUUCUUAUUAAUUAAAGAGGGGACCAUAGGAUGUCACAGCCCUUUCAAAGGGAGAAUGAAGGGCACCUCAGGCCAGUGGGAAGGUUGAGAGGCACUUAUGAAUAGACACCCAGGCUCAACGGGCUGGAGUGUCUCUGGGCACACGUCAUUUCCAGUGCUUACCUUGGGAUGGGGCACAAUUUGCUUUCAUUUGAAAACUCCGCAACUUGGAUACUUGUUUUCAAUGUAACAUGAUACUUUUGUAUUAUAGAGCAACUCAAGAAGGGGAAGACAGGCAACCUGCAUUAAUAAUAUAAAAUUUAAAAUCUUCAUUCAAGCCUGGGAAAACAAGUCCUUCCCUCCACCUUCCCACUCCCACUCCUGGAUGCACAGGGGUCCUGUGGUGCUUGGUAAUGGUGCCUGCAUCACAGUAAAUUUCCUUUUAAACUUGACUUUUAUAAACAGGAAAGCCCUGGCUGGACCUUGACACCUACAGGCACCAAGGAGAUUGAAGCCACAGGAUGUGUGACUCCUGCAUCCCAUCCCUGUACUCAGGAGGAGACUCCCAAGAGGGGCAGCUGAACAGGAGGAAGGGACACCAGCCUGGAACUGGGAAUGUGUGGUUCUGACCUGGGGGUGCUGGUCCACUAAUGCCCAUCAUGAUAACAACAGCAGUGAAUGGGAACAGCACAGUUAUUGAAUACUGUGCCCAAAGCUCUUUCUGCUUACAUCCAAAGAAGAAUUCACUGAAGUAAGCACCAUCACUCCCAUUUCAUAGGUGACAAAACUGAAGCCAGAGAGGUUCAGUAACUGUUCAAGUUCACACAGCCAGAAGAUGGGGGACCUAGACUAACUCUGACUUCACUGAGGUGAAGUCCAACCUUGUAACUACUCUUUGGUACCAUCCAGCUGUGGGACCUAGCUGAAACCAAACUUAAUUUUGGUUGAUCGAAACCUAACAAUAAAUGUUGAAACCACAAAAAGAACUUGAAGAAAACUAGAAAAAAUGAGAAACAUACUUUUGAAGGUAGGGCUAUCCUUUUAAGCAAGAUAUGAAACCAAUAAGUACUAAAAAAAACUUUUGAUACCUUUGAGUUCAUGAAAUAACAUUUUCGACUCCUGGGUAAAAUAAACUGUAAUAGAUUUAAUGGAAUUCUUACAAAAUUCCAGUAAGAUUUUUCACAGAAAAAAAAAUUCUCCAAAAAAUUUGUAUGGAAUCAGAAAAGACCCCAAAUAGCAAAAGCAAAAAGAAUAAAACUGAAUCUCACUCCCUGAUUUGAAAAUACAAUGUUAUUGAAAUUGAAACAGCAGGGUAUUGGCACAAAAACAGACACAUUGACCAAUGGAAAAAAAAGAAAUUCCAUAAAUAAACCCAAUGUUUACAGUCAGUUGAUGUGAUGUUUGACAAAUGUGCUAAGAAUAUACAUCGGGGAAAGGACAGUGUGUUCAGUAAAUGCAUAUGGGAAGAUGGGAGGAAUAGAGGAACUUUA